UACGCUGGCGGCGUGCCUAACACAUGCAAGUCGAACGAAGCAGCAAUGCUUAGUGGCAGACGGGUGAGUAACGCGUAGAUAAUGUGCCCUCAAGUCAGGGAUAACUCUUCGAAAGAAGAGCUAAUACCGGAUGUGGCCUUAGGGUCAAAGCAGUAAUGCGCUUGAGGAAGGGCCUGCGUCCUAUCAGCUAGUUGGUGAGGUAAUGGCUCACCAAGGCAAUGACGGGUAAUUGGUCUGAGAGGACGGCCAGUCACAAUGGAACUGAGACACGGUCCAUACUCCUACGGGAGGCAGCAGUGAGGAAUCUUCCGCAAUGGGCGAAAGCCUGACGGAGCGACGCCGCGUGAAGGAUGAAGGGUUUAUUCUUGUAAACUUCUUUUCUCUGGGAAGAUAGUGACGGUACCAGAGGAAUAAGGGACGGCAAACUACGUG
rnacentral:rRNA from 1 species